CACUCCUACGGGAGGCAGCAGUGGGGAAUAUUGGACAAUGGGCGCAAGCCUGAUCCAGCCAUGCCGCGUGAGUGAUGAAGGCCCUAGGGUUGUAAAGCUCUUUCACCGGUGAAGAUAAUGACGGUAACCGGAGAAGAAGCCCCGGCUAACUUCGUGCCAGCAGCCGCGGUAAUACGAAGGGGGCUAGCGUUGUUCGGAUUUACUGGGCGUAAAGCGCACGUAGGCGGACUAUUAAGUCAGGGGUGAAAUCCCGGGGCUCAACCCCGGAACUGCCUUUGAUACUGGUAGUCUUGAGUUCGAGAGAGGUGAGUGGAAUUCCGAGUGUAGAGGUGAAAUUCGUAGAUAUUCGGAGGAACCCCAGUGGCGAAGGCGGCUCACUGGCUCGAUACUGACGCUGAGGUGCGAAAGCGUGGGGAGCAAACAGGAUUAGAUACCCCUGUAGUCCCAUG
rnacentral:rRNA from 1 species